GGUGGCCGGCUUAAUUGGGAGCUAUGGCUAAACAUCAUCCUGAUUUGAUCUUUUGCCCCAAGCAGGCUGGUGUUGCCAUCGGAAGACUGUGUGAAAAAUGUGAUGGCAAGUGUGUGAUUUGUGAUUCCUAUGUGCGUCCCUGCACUCUGGUGCGCAUAUGUGAUGAGUGUAACUAUGGAUCUUACCAGGGACGCUGUGUGAUCUGUGGAGGCCCUGGGGUCUCUGAUGCGUAUUAUUGUAAGGAGUGCACCAUCCAGGAGAAGGAUAGAGAUGGCUGCCCAAAGAUUGUCAAUCUGGGGAGCUCUAAAACAGACCUCUUCUAUGAACGCAAAAAAUACGGCUUCAAGAAGAGGUGAUUGGUGGGUGGCCCCUUCCUCCCCCCAACAUCAAGCUGCUGCAGCAGCCAGAAAACAUGCCUACUACUACCAGCAGAAAGGGAGCAGAGACCAUAGCAUCACCAGGAGUGCCUGCUAGUGUACUGGCAGCUUGCCACCCCCUCCUCUCCCUUCACCCAGAUGCGGUAGGGAUGGAAAAGGAUUCUUCACAGAGCACUCUGGCACACCGUAUCAGAGAAAAGUUGAUAGAUUAGUUAAUGGUUUUUCUUGAAUUCGAGAAGCAGAGAUCUGUUCUCCAUAUUGAUAUGUUCUCCUUCAACCAAGAUCUUCUAAAAAGAAAUAAUAUUUUAGUCUUCUGCUUGAGGAGUUGACUAUGAAGCUACAGCCAGUGAAAACCAUGUUCUUGCAGCAGCUCUGGUGGCAGCUGUCCUUGAGGAACCUUUGGUGUGUGGUGGGAAGCUAUCAGAACAAGAAAUGUAGGCAUUUACUGUUUUUUGCGGCAGGGGGGCGGGGGGAGGGG